UCAGACUUCCCCUACAGUUGCUUAAGCAAACCAAGGAUAUCUAGCCACAUAUAUAGUUAAUGAUAAUCAGUAAAAUAUACCCACAACUUGUAUUUUCAAUCACAAUUAUUAAAUUCGGGUUGAUAGAUAAGUUUAUUUAUCUAGGACAUGGCUAACCUACCUCUUAAAUCAGGUUAAAUAUAUAAAAAAAAAAAUUUAAAAUUUAGUCAGAUGACAUGAUUGAUAUCGUUUUAAUUAAUUGGGUUAAAAAUGGUAUCCCAUGUCUUGCUAUACUUUCAAAACAUUUAGAACAAUUAGAUCACUCUAAGUUGAUGAUUUCAAAAAGUUAACAUUUUAUGAUCCAAACAUUCACACAAGAGAAUCAUUACACCAGUCUUAGAAAUUGAUGCUUUCAAGAGCUGACACCAUCAGAAGAUGUAGAAGAAGGGUGGUCCUAAUCUGUUGUCUAGCUCUGAAUCUGUCACGUACGCAUCUAGACGAUGUUUCUUCCAUAUAAACCUUUUAUCGAAGCCAUUACAACUUCUUCUUUUUUUUACUUUUUUUCUUACAUAUUACUAAGAUUAAUAUUUUCUACGUAGUUAAUGGUUUUGCAAACCUGAUUCCAGUUCCACUCCUCCCUCAAAGGGCACUUCUGUUCGUGUGAGCGUAAAGUGGGUGACUCCAGUUCCAGUUCCACUCUCUUUUUUCACGAGGACACUAGUUCACCAUGAGUAAUGUUGCUAGAGUUCUCAAGUAGCACUUAAUUUCCUGAUUACUCAUGAGGUAUCAAGUACCAUUUCCAUGGCUAUAAGCAUGGUGAUUAACCGCAUGAGUUCGAAAAGCUUUCUUCUUCACGAUGAUUAAAAAUAUCAACAGAAAUUAAAUCAUAUUCUUGGAGCACAAGAUCGAUCUCUUGCAUAUUAGCUUGCUUCAAGGUUUAAACUCAAGAAAUUAAGAGAGGGCAUACCUAGUCUACAACAUGGGAUUACAUGGUAGAAAUGUUGGCACCUUGUUAAUUACCUAAGGAUCCAAGAAAUAUAAGGUUGAAUCAAAGGAAUAUAUAGGUGAUGAUUCAUGGCCUUAAAUCUCUUAAAAUGAAACAAUAAAGAGCAUGUACUGCUGGAUCUAGAAAAUUCCAUAGUACAUUCUAGAAAUUAAUCAAUCUGCAAUAAUUUGUAUUUAGCUGGACAAAAACUAACCCAAAAGAUAAUGGACAUUGAAAAAUAAUGCUAGCUAGCUAGGAAGGACCCAAAACAGGGUGAAGUUUUGCACUAGUAGAGCUAGAAAGUUGGGAAAAAAUGUAACAGUGAUCACUAUUGACAAAUGACAAUCUGCCGACAGAAACCAAAUAAUGCAACUCACUUUAGAAGCCUCGUUGGCGUCUAGCAAAAAAGCUUAUUAUUUCGAAAUCAGCAAUUAUCUUUUUCCCACAAUUUCAAGUUCAGCUAUUUCUUUCUCUCUUUUUUUUUGGAUAAUAAAAUAUGCUAUUUCUUUCUCUUUUCUUUAAGACUACAAAAAGAUCUGCAAAAACUGCUUUAAAAAGGAGUUCACACAAAGAAGUCAAAGCAAUUCCAUCACCAACGUCUAGCUAGAUACAGAUAACUACAAUAUAUAUUUGGUACAUGUGUACAUAUAUCCAUGCCCUAGAAUCAUGAAAUCAUAUAAGGUUAAUUAAUAUAAAAAGGCCCCUUCUAUAAAUAACUUAUACAACCCUUUUCCUUCUUUUGGCGCAAUACAUGUAUCUAUAUAGCACAAGGCAUGCUGAGAAUUAUGAAGUUAGAAACGAAAUUGUUUCAUGUUCUGAAAAUGAUUCUAAAUAUUUUCACAAGAAUAUUGAUCCGGCUUAAUUUGUAAGCACAGCAACCUCAUUAGUUAAAUUGUAUCAAAUUGAAUGCAUGCAGUCACAACAAUACCAGUUCUAUAUUUUUGAAGCAAUAUAGAGAAUCAAGAAAUGUUAAGUAAAUAUUUAUUUUUUGUUCUUGUUUUCAUAUUUACAUGAAAUUUUGCUCCCAACAUUUCCAAUUUCUACAAUAAGAUUAGUCUGUUAGUUAAUUAAUAGAUUACUGAAAAGAAGGAAGGAUGGAUACUAUAGCUAAUCUAGAAAUUUAAUUUAAUGGGGGCCAGGGGUUGGGGGGGGGCACUUAUGAGUCUAUAUAUUCUUCAAUUAAGUAAUUGAAGCCAGUAAGCGACAUCAAGGACUACUAAUAGAUGCUAAACAAAGAAGAAUCGUUGUUAUAUUCUAAGCUUAAUAAAAUAUUAAACCACAAAUCCCUUAAAACAUGUCUUGAUAUCCCAUCAUGUCAAUGUCAAACAUCUCUCCUAUGAUUUGAUAGUACAUACAAGUAUGAAUGUAAUAUUAUUCAAGCUCGUAUAUACCAUCGAGGUUCUUGGCAAGUGACUUCAAUGUUGAGAGAAUUGUCUACAUGUAUCCUUUUUGGUAAGUUAACUAUCUGUCUACGUUAAGAACUUGAACAUACAAAUAGAAGUAAUUAACUUCGUAUAUUUUGUGGGGAGGAGUGGAUCUACCCCAAGCCCUUAUCAUUGUAUCUAAUUGGAGGGGUGAAAUGGGUGCUCAAUUUGCUUUGUAUCUUGGAUAAAGUAUUGAGAUAGUGAAUAAAAUCUCAUUCCUCUCUUAUAUAUUCACAUUUUUCAAUCUUCUAGUUUGUAAUAACUUGGAUAUUGGACCUAAUCCCUUGUGCCUAUCUUCCAUCUUACUAAAUAUACUGUAAAACAAAUUAAACAAGUUAAAUUCGGGAAGAACCCUAACUUGUUAAUCUAUUGAGAUUAAGGAGAGCAAUGGAGUUACAUACCUUUGUCUAGCUCCUGGUACAGCUUCUUCUUGGAAACGCUGAAUGCUGAAGAGCAAGGGAAAGACGGACAAUAUCUGCCACGGUAUAUGAGCAAAGAGUUUGUACGUAUUUAUAGGAAAAUGUAAUAAUGCAGGUAUGAACGUGAACCAAAUAAGGUAGCAAAAGAGAGUAGCAUCAAUGUGUGAGGAGGAUAAGAUCACUAGACAUGCCAAAGAAAGAAAUUGAGAAAAACAUGACAGAAGAGACCUUGAGGUGAAAGCUGGGAAAGCAAAUAACCCUGAGAAAGUGAUAUUGGCGCGGCUCAAUCUGAGAUCGUAUUUUACAAUUACUUUCACGUGUAAAUCCGUCUUCGGAUUGAACCUCACCAACAUCGCUUUCUUUUGCCUCCUUAGCAUCCAGCACAGAUUACCGUGUCUCUUCUUAUCAGAAAAAGGCAAAAUGAUCAUGCAAGUAGAAACAUACCACGAUAAGUUUAUAAUGUGAACAGGUUUUAGCUUUUAAAACUUGCUAGCUGCUGCAGGCUUGGUGCCACUUACCAACCAAAAGGGAAAAAAGUGUGUACUUGAAUAAAGAAACACUAGAUAUGGUCACAUACGACUUGUCAAAGGACAAUAAUAUGAUCAUUUACGGUAUCUAUAUAUCUCUUGGUAGGGAAAAGGAUGGUGGCUCGGUGGAGUAAGAGGUGGAGGUGGUGGUCUUGUUGGUGGUUAUAGUCAUGAAGUGGGAUCUUGAAAUCAUGAUCAUUUAUAUAUAUUCCUUGAACUCAGUCAAUUGAAAUCAAGAUUUAUUCUCAAAGCAAAAAAGAAAAAAAAAUCUAGACUUUUAAAAGGCAAAAAUAAUUAAUAUAUUCCAUAAUACUUAUCAAACACGCGCGAGUAUAAAAAAUAUAUCGAUUAAAGAAAACCCCCUAUUAUUCAAUUAUAAUUUAGCUGGGAUUUAGAAACGAUAUUCUUACACCACAUGAAAACAUAAAACAAUAAAUAAAAAUAAAAAUAGAAAUAAAAAUAGAAAUCAUUGUUGCACCAAGAAAAGAAAAUUAAAGAGCUGGACAAAUGUUAAUAGAGGAGUGGCAGUGCUAAUUUGAUUAACAUCAAGAAACAAAAGCUGGCCAUUAGGAAUGGAUCAAUCAAGAUAUUUAUGGAAUGUUGAAGCAAUCAGCUCAACUAGGGUUCAAAGAUAAAUUGAAGAAGAUGGGAAUGAACUCAUGAUCUUUCUUGAUGAUAUAUAGAUAGUAAUAACUUGUCUAAGGUUGAUCAUGGUCAUAUAUAAGGGACUUGGAGUCAGGGAGAGACAGAGAAAGAGAGAGAAAGGGAGGAAUGGAAUGAGGAGGCAAGGGGUUGGAGAGGUAGAGAAUGUAUACUGGCAGGGUUUGCCUCGGGAUGAGAAGGUGAAGAAGGUGAGUGGAAUGAUGUCAAGGGUAGCAGCUUACUUUUAGGGUUUGUCAUGCUUAAUUUGUACUCAAUAAAAUCAAACGCAUGCCACC
rnacentral:lncRNA from 1 species